UACGGGGGGAGCAAGCGUUGUUCGGAUUUACUGGGCGUAAAGGGCGCGUAGGCGGUCAGCACAAGUCAGUUGUGAAAUCUCCGGGCUUAACUCGGAAAGGUCAACUGAUACUGUGCGACUAGAGUGCGGAAGGGGCAACUGGAAUUCUCGGUGUAGCGGUGAAAUGCGUAGAUAUCGUGAGGAAGACCAGUGGCGAAGGCGGAUCUCUGGACAGUUCCUGACGCUGAGGCACGAAGGUCAGGGGAGCAAACGGG
rnacentral:rRNA from 1 species